GUUUCAGCCUGAGACCCAUUUGCCUCAGGAACCCGAGUGCAUCUGGAUUCCCCACCAUGGCCUGGGCCCCUCUGCUCCUCGUGCUGCUCAUUUACUGCACUGGUUCUGAUGCCCAGUUUGUGCUGACUCAGCCACCCUCAGCAUCAGCAUCUCCUGGGCAAACGGUUACGAUCUUCUGUGCCAGGAGCAGCGGCAGCACCGGUGAUAACUGGAAUUCCUGGUACCAGCAGAGCCCUGGCCGUGCUCCAGUACUGAUUAUAUAUCAGGAUAGCAAGCGGCCCUCAGGGAUUCCAAGUCGAUUCUCUGGUGCCAUUGACAGCUCUGCCAAUGCUGCCACUCUAACCAUCUCUGGGGUCCAAGCCGACGAUGAGGCUGAUUAUUAUUGUGCUGCAUAUGCUGGCAGUGGCAAUUCCACAGUGCUACAGAGCCAUGGGGAACUGAGACCAAAACCUCCCACAGCAGCUCAAGUGAAACUCCUCUGCACUGGUCUCACUGUGUGUGUCUGCUGCCUGAAGCCCUGCAGCGAAAUGAACUGUCUCUCCCCAGCCACAGAUGUUAAAAUCCCAAAUCAAGGGUAAAUUGUGAGGUAGCUUCUGUGUGUCUUGUUAGGGGGCGGAUAGCCAGGGAGGCAGCUGCUCUGUGGGGAUGCACUGAGGCUUUGUACUGGCAUGGGGUGGACAUAGGCAAAGGCCUCUCAGGGCACUGGGGAGGCAGGGGCUGGUGAAAGGAGCAGCCUGUGUUCUCUCCAUCGCUGCUGCCCAGUGCUGGCAAUCCACAGGGGUUGUGGCCCUGACCACUCCUCACCUGGGCUGGCCGUGCUGCCCUUAGAAUGGUGGGAUGAUACCAGGUGGUAGCUGCCCCCAAGCCAGCACUCCAGACGAGCACUGUGUCUAUA